GCACUACAACGGGUGGAGCCUGCGGUUUAAUUGGACUCAACGCCGGAAAACUCACCGGGGGCGACAGCAAUAUGUAGGUCAGGCUAAAGACCUUACCUGAAUCGCUGAGAGGAGGUGCAUGGCCGUCGUCAGUUCGUACUGUGAAGCAUCCUGUUAAGUCGGGCAACGAGCGAGACCCGCGCCCACAGUUGCCAGCAUGUUCUCCGGAACGAUGGGUACACUGUGGGGACCGCCGCUGCUAAAGCGGAGGAAGGAACGGGCUACGGUAGGUCAGUAUGCCCCGAAUCUCCCGGGCUACACGCGGGCUACAAUGGUUGGGACAAUGGGCACCUACCCUGAAAAGGGACGGUAAUCUCCUAAACCCAACCGUAGUUCGGAUUGAGGGCUGUAACUCGCCCUCAUGAAGCUGGAAUCCGUAGUAAUCGCGUUUCAACAUAGCGCGGUGAAUACGUCCCUGCUCCUUGCACACACCGCCCGUCAAACCAUGCGAGUGAGAUCUGGGUGAGGGCAUGUUUAUGACAUGUUCGAACCUGGGCUUCGCAAGUGGGGUU
rnacentral:rRNA from 1 species